rnacentral:rRNA from 2 species
UGCCUAUACAUGCAAGUCGAACGCGUUGGCCCAAUUGAUUGAUGGUGCUUGCACCUGAUUGAUUUUGGUCGCCAACGAGUGGCGGACGGGUGAGUAACACGUAGGUAACCUGCCCAGAAGCGGGGGACAACAUUUGGAAACAGAUGCUAAUACCGCAUAACAACGUUGUUCGCAUGAACAACGCUUAAAAGAUGGCUUCUCGCUAUCACUUCUGGAUGGACCUGCGGUGCAUUAGCUUGUUGGUGGGGUAAUGGCCUACCAAGGCGAUGAUGCAUAGCCGAGUUGAGAGACUGAUCGGCCACAAUGGGACUGAGACACGGCCCAUACUCCUACGGGAGGCAGCAGUAGGGAAUCUUCCACAAUGGGCGCAAGCCUGAUGGAGCAACACCGCGUGAGUGAAGAAGGGUUUCGGCUCGUAAAGCUCUGUUGUUAAAGAAGAACACGUAUGAGAGUAACUGUUCAUACGUUGACGGUAUUUAACCAGAAAGUCACGGCUAACUACGUGCCAGCAGCCGCGGUAAUACGUAGGUGGCAAGCGUUAUCCGGAUUUAUUGGGCGUAAAGAGAGUGCAGGCGGUUUUCUAAGUCUGAUGUGAAAGCCUUCGGCUUAACCGGAGAAGUGCAUCGGAAACUGGAUAACUUGAGUGCAGAAGAGGGUAGUGGAACUCCAUGUGUAGCGGUGGAAUGCGUAGAUAUAUGGAAGAACACCAGUGGCGAAAGCGGCUACCUGGUCUGCAACUGACGCUGAGACUCGAAAGCAUGGGUAGCGAACAGGAUUAGAUACCCUGGUAGUCCAUGCCGUAAACGAUGAGUGCUAGGUGUUGGAGGGUUUCCGCCCUUCAGUGCCGGAGCUAACGCAUUAAGCACUCCGCCUGGGGAGUACGACCGCAAGGUUGAAACUCAAAGGAAUUGACGGGGGCCCGCACAAGCGGUGGAGCAUGUGGUUUAAUUCGAAGCUACGCGAAGAACCUUACCAGGUCUUGACAUCUUGCGCCAACCCUAGAGAUAGGGCGUUUCCUUCGGGAACGCAAUGACAGUAGAUGCAUGGUCGUCGUCAGCUCCUGUCGUGAGAUGUUGGGUUAAG